rnacentral:lncRNA from 1 species
GCGUGUCUCAGGAAGUGCUAUUCAGGACUAAGAUAGAGGACAUGUCACCCCAUUCAUCAACCACAUUCAUUCCAAAUGGGCUAUGUACCUGUGUGAUCAUCAGUAAGGUAGGGGCUUACACAAGCAUCUCCAGUCUUUACCACAGGGGGUGUUUUUGUUCCUGUGAUCCAGAUUGCUCCCUAUGUUAGCAUCUCUCUUUCCAGCAGGAACCGGGGAAGAAAGGCACCCCCCCCCCCGUGUUUAUUAAAUUCCAGAGAGAUGAUUACUAGGUUCUGAGAAAGGCUUUAAUUGAGUUCCUGGCAAUGAAUAGGUAAAAUAUUUGUAUAUUAGCUACUUUUCUAUUGCUGUGAUAAAACACAGCCGUGGAAAGCAGGUUAUCAGGCCCUUGGAGUAUGCCUUGCCCUGGAUCUUUCCUAUAGCCCCAUUCUCUACUUCACGGCUUCUCUGAUACACAUUUUUCUGCUCCCUCAUGCUGCUCUUACCGUUAUGUGAUUGAUACCUCUGAAAAUAUGAGCCAAAAUAAAUAAUUCAUCUCUUUCUGUCAGGUGUUUAGUUGCAACUAUGCAAAAGUAAAGAACUGUGCAUGUGGAGUGAUAUAGUUCCUUAUUAUUUAUUUAUUUAUUUAUUCAUUUGUUUGUUUGUUUAUUCUAUGGAAUAGAUUCUUUGUAUAGGGCUGAGUUGAGAAGCAAGAAUGAAGAUUUUGGCAAGGGUAUUUAAUAAUGAUCUAAAGAGAACUGGGCUAGUAAAAUUGUCCUUUGCAAGGAUAAAAGCCCUGAGAAGAUGGGAUUCAGAGCUGCCUUUUGGUUGUUGAACGUCCAGUGUACAACCAUGGAUCUCACCUGCUGUUAACAUGGCUGAUCUGCCUUCUCCACUCUCGUCAAAUCUCAAGAAAUCAUAAACCACCUAAACCAGGCAUCAUAGCCCCAAGAGAGUCAGGAAAAUGACUUGGUUGGGAAGAGGUUACUCGGAUAUUUGAUAACCAGACAGACUGAGUCCCUACUCUUCUUGUUCUGUGACCUUGGGUGGCUGAUUAAAACAAUUAUUGAUGGAUUUAAAAAAACAUUCAAAAUCUCACAGUGCCUAGACUCUUCUGGAAUUCACUCUGUAAAUGAAAAGCACCUUGCAUUCCUUCACCUCCCGCCCUCCCUGCUCAAGUGUAGGGGUUAUAGCUGGUGCCACUGUUCUUAGCCCAGAUUUGUUACCAAGGUCAAUGACUAAGGCAGAUGUCUUAGACAGUUUAUACUCUUAGCCAUGAGCUCAGCUUACAGCCAAAACGUUACAUGUAACAGGGUCUUUUAAAGCCCUAACUGAAUGUCUAGCGGGGCAGGGACUCCAGAAAUGUCAGAUCCCUUCCUGGAAGGAAAUGAGUCAUGUUUGGAGGUGGCUGUGUUUGUGCAGAUCUUUGUCUGUAGUGGGCACGGAGACAGGGACAACUAUGGGGAUCCUGAGCUGCUGGCAUUCUUAUUGUCGACAGCUGAAUGUUGAAACCACUCUACAGCUAGACUGAAGACUGGGAUUUGAAAGGAAUACAUUUACCUUUAAGGCCAAUUGUCCCUGAAUGUCAGUGAGGCAGUGUGAAGCUCUGCGACACUGCUUUGAUUAUAAAGUGGGUGCAGACAGAAUGCCAACUUUAGGCACUUAGAUCUAACAGCAUGUAAAGAUGACGGAAUCAGGUUUUUUUCCUGUGAACUAUUUUCUUCCUUCCUCUAAACAAUGACACCUAGUGCUUUAUAAGCAAUGAUUCAUAACACAGUCUAGGGACUGUGGGAUAGAGUGUCAUUAACCAUCAGCCAUGACAUCAAUGAGCUGCUGCGUGCUAGAAUAAGCUGAACGGAAAGAAAGCCGGAUUUCACCUCAUGAGAAAACUGCUGGGCUCUGGACUCUCUUACAUUGACCUUCCCCACCCCUCAUCCUUUUAGAUGGACAGAUUGAGACCUAGAAAGGGGUAUGGCCUGCCUAAGGAUGCAGAGAUGAGGGACAGGAAUGAAACCAGUGCCAGACUGAUUCACUGUCAAGGACUCUUCACAGCCCAGUAGGUUAUUUUAAAGAAAUGGAAAUGUUGCUGUUUGAUGAAAUGCAGUUGUUAUUCCAGUAAGUACACUCGUUGUAGUGGCUUACUUCAGCAAUCUUAGCACUUGGGAGGCUGAGGCAGGAGUGGUGAUACAAGUUUGAGCCCAGGCUAGGCUACAGAGUGAGUUUCAGGCCAGCCUUUAAUAAAGCAUAAAACCCUGUCUUAGAAAAAAGAAUCUACUAAACCAAAAGCCAUGUAUGGUGGCUAACACCUGUAUUCCCAGUAGUCAUGAUGCAAUAUGGAUGCAUCACUAUGAGUUUAAGGUCAACUUGGCUACAUAGUUGUAGGACAGCCUGGAGUAUAGUUUAAGAAGCUGUCUCAAAAACAAAACAAAAUCAACCAACCAAAAACAAAACAAAACAAAGC